GACAGAGGGUGCAAACGUUGCUCGGAAUUAUUGGGCGUAAAGGGCGCGUAGGCGGCCAUGCGUGUCUUCCGUGAAAUCCCUCGGCUUAACUGAGGACGUGCGGAAGAAACUGCAAGGCUCGAGUCCGGGAGAGGGGGGUGGAAUUCCCAGUGUAGCGGUGAAAUGCGUAGAUAUUGGGAGGAACACCGGUGGCGAAGGCGGCCCCCUGGACCGGUACUGACGCUGAGACGCGAAAGCGUGGGGAGCAAACAGG
rnacentral:rRNA from 1 species